UUAGGAACGAAACGUCUCAAGCGAGUGUUGGUCGUUGUCGCAAAGGUCGAUUCUGCAUUGGCUUUAUUUGGAACGUCGUUGGCUGAACAAAACAACAGGAAGAUAUCAAUAUUGUGUCUAAAAUGGUUUUAAGGUUUACAGCUGUGCAUUGAAGCCCGUUGAUAAAAUUGAAACUUUGCACAGAAAAGUGGAGGAAGAAGUUGAGUUUGACAGCUUUCAGCGUCCUCUUCACUCAACACCCUGGAAAACUAUGUACAUAAAUCUGCGACACCUUCACUGCAGAUUGGCUUAGGAAGUCUUAAGAUGGGAUUGUACCUGUAAGGUCACUGGUUUACAAUCUGCCCAGGUUGUGCCAGUCCCCCUGAGGCGAUUGUUGUGGGUCAUUUAGGAAGUAUUGUGUAAUAACGGCUGCUUCACAUUUGGUCCUCACUGACAGUUAACGGUUUCAGAACUGGACUGGCUCCGUGACUCCGGAUCUUCAUCAUAAAUACAGACACUGCACUGGCAGCAAUAUAAUAUCUAAACUCCUGGAGAUGAUGCAUUUAUCUUCAUCAUUUCUCAUAUAUGUGUGGAAGGAUGAGCUGGAUUUUGUUGGAGCUCCUAGUCUCUCCAGCAUGCAAACUUUUGGCUCUGGGAUUUCGAUGUUGGGGAUGUGCCGGGGAAGGAGGAUGUAUUAGCCUGUGCUUGGCAGAAUAUUAGGGAGACUAGGCUCUCUCCUGGGAUACUGGAUUUUGUGCUCAAUCGGACAAAGGAUAGAGGUUGAACAAGAGGACACGCAGCUGCAGCCCAGUCUCUGCAUCAUCUCAUCUCAGUCUCUGAGUCCUCAUGCUAUUCAUUAAAAAGCAGCAGGACUGAUCUUAGAGUCUGAGCGCCGUUUACAGCUGCGCCUGCUCUUGAGCUGAAGUUUUGAUACACAAGAGGAUAACAGAAAGUCAGUGCAGGACAUUUAUUGCACGUCUUUGCAUCAUAUAACUUUAACAUUGCACAACAGAAACUGGAUUUCUUAUGUGUGGCCCAUUUGUGCUGCUGUGAGUCUGCUGUUAAUGACAUAUGGGGCGUUUAAAAAUCCAACACCUCAUGCACCACAGGGCCAGAUUGCUGUUAAAACACUGAAUCAUGGGACUGUUUUCAGAUCAAAGUUUCAUACACCACAGCUGUAGAAUCAAAAUAUAUCGCUGUGAAGAAUAAGUUUGAGAACA